GACGAACGCUGGCGGCGUGCUUAACACAUGCAAGUCGAGCGGUAAGGCCCUUUCGGGGGUACGACGAGCGGCGAACGGGUGAGUAACACGUGGGUGACCUGCCCUCCAGCUCUGGGAUAAGCCUGGGAAACCGGGUACUAAUACCGGAUAUGACUCCAUGACGCAUGUUGUGGGGUGGAAAGCCUUGCGCGGCUGAGGAUGGGCCCGCGGCCUAUCAGCUUGUUGGUGGGGUGAUGGCCUACCAAGGCGACGACGGGUAGCCGGCCUGAGAGGGCGACCGGCCACACUGGGACUGAGACACGGCCCAGACUCCUACGGGAGGCAGCAGUGGGGAAUCUUGCGCAAUGGGCGAAAGCCUGACGCAGCGACGCCGCGUGAGGGAUGACGGCCUGGUUGUAAC
rnacentral:rRNA from 1 species